UGGGGACAUUCCUCUGCUCUCACCCUACACGGCGCCGGCCCCUCUUGGCCACACCGCCGGGAAGAAACCUCUCCAUGACUCACGGAAGGGAAGAGGCUCGGCGGGAGUACGGGAUUAUGCUGGUUCCCCUUCAUUCCGUGACAGUCAUAGAGGGUCACAGGGCUGCUGUGGGAAAUGGCAUCGAAACAGAACUUCUUUGUGUGCUGAGGGUCCCCAGGACGGAUAUCUUCCCGCCAGCUGAAGGGCGUAGCACUGCUCAGCUGGACGGCACUUCUCUGGGGAUGGCAAGUCAAGAACUCUUUUAGAAACAAGCCACUUCCACUGUCUGGUGGCUCCUCAGUUUGAUUUCCAGCCUGAGUGGGGAGCCCAGAGUUCCGUGUUUCGUAUCUGCACACAGACCAGUUCCUAUAUUACGGAUCUGCAAUAUUAAAUUGUUAAUUAGUUAUGUUACACUUUUGUCCAAGUGACAGCUAAGAGGC